rnacentral:rRNA from 1 species
GGACCCGCACAAGCGGUGGAGCAUGUGGUUUAAUUCGAUGCAACGCGAAAAACCUUACCUACUCUUGACAUACUUGGGAGCUCUUGUAAUGAGAGUGUGCCUUUUGGAACCAAGAUACAGGUGCUGCAUGGCUGUCGUCAGCUCGUGUCGUGAGAUGUUCCGUUAAGUCGGAUAACGAGCGCAACCCUUACCCUUAUUUGCCAGCGAUUCGGUCGGGAACUAUAAGGGGACUGCCGGUGAUAAACCGGAGGAAGGUGAGGACGACGUCAAGUCAUCAUGGCCCUUACGAGUAGGGCUACACACGUGCUACAAUGGGGAAUACAGACGGACGCUAAGCCGCGAUGGGGAGCUAAUCCGACAAACCUAGUCGUAGUCCGGAUUGGAGUCUGCAACUCGACUCCAUGAAGUCGGAAUUGCUAGUAAUCG